AGUGAACGCUGGCGGUAGGCCUAACACAUGCAAGUCGAACGGCAGCACAGUAAGAGCUUGCUCUUACGGGUGGCGAGUGGCGGACGGGUGAGGAAUACAUCGGAAUCUACUUUUUCGUGGGGGAUAACGUAGGGAAACUUACGCUAAUACCGCAUACGACCUACGGGUGAAAGCAGGGGAUCUUCGGACCUUGCGCGAUUGAAUGAGCCGAUGUCGGAUUAGCUAGUUGGCGGGGUAAAGGCCCACCAAGGCAACGAUCCGUAGCUGGUCUGAGAGGAUGAUCAGCCACACUGGAACUGAGACACGGUCCAGACUCCUACGGGAGGCAGCAGUGGGGAAUAUUGGACAAAGGGCGCAAGCCUGACCCAGCCAUACCGCGUGGGUGAAGAAGGCCUUCGGGUUGUAAAGCCCUUUUGUUGGGAAAGAACAGCAGCAUGUUAAUCCCCCGCUGUUCUGACGGUACCCAAAGAAUAAGCACCGGCUAACUUCGUG
rnacentral:rRNA from 1 species